rnacentral:rRNA from 1 species
CGCUGGCGGCGUGCUAACACAUGCAAGUCGAGCGAUGAAGCUCCUUCGGGAGUGGAUUAGCGGCGGACGGGUGAGUAACACGUGGGUAACCUGCCUCAUAGAGGGGAAUAGCCUUUCGAAAGGAAGAUUAAUACCGCAUAAGAUUGUAGUACCGCAUGGUACAGCAAUUAAAGGAGUAAUCCGCUAUGAGAUGGACCCGCGUCGCAUUAGCUAGUUGGUGAGGUAACGGCUCACCAAGGCGACGAUGCGUAGCCGACCUGAGAGGGUGAUCGGCCACAUUGGGACUGAGACACGGCCCAGACUCCUACGGGAGGCAGCAGUGGGGAAUAUUGCACAAUGGGGGAAACCCUGGUGCAAGCAACGCCGCGUGAGUGAUGACGGUCUUCGGAUUGUAAAGCUCUGUCUUUAGGGACGAUAAUGACGGUACCUAAGGAGGAAGCCACGGCUAACUACGUGCCAGCCGCUGC